rnacentral:lncRNA from 1 species
UUUUUUUUUAGAGAUUACUUUUAAAACUCAAUACAAUUAGAAGUAAUUACAAAUAUACAGCUACAGAACACUUGGCAGGGUGACUAUCUUACAGUACACUGCUACUUUGGUGGCCCCAAAUGAACCAGGCUUCCCAAUAUUUGCACCUUUAGGAGUUCUCUUCUCUUGAGUCUGAUUGGGCCUGUCACUUGCUUUAAUCAAUAGUAGAAUGCGUUGGAAGUGAUGUUAUGCCAGUUUGGGACUAUGCCUUAAGAAGGCCUGAUAGCUUCUGUUUUUGCAUUCGGGGGAAGCCAGCUGCUGUGUUAGAAGUUUGACUUCUCAGACUUACUGCCUGUGAAAAGCCCAACCAACCAUGUGAAGAAGAACUGAGGUUUGGGCCAACAGCCUCAGUUGAACUCCCAGCCAGCAGUCAACACCAACUUUUGCCAGCCACGUGAAGAAGGCCAUUUAAAAAGUGGAUUCUCCAGCCCACUGGAGCCACCUCAGGUGACUGCGUGUGGAGCAAAGAAAGGCUAUUUGAGCCCACAUUGCAAAAUUACAAGCAAAUAAAUAAAAUUAUUGUAGUUUUAAGCCACUAAGUUGUUUAAUAAUAGAUAGCUAAAAUGUACAGGCAAACUUGGAAGAUACUGUGGGUUGGGUUCCAGACCACUACAAUAAAGCCAAUAUCAUAAUAAAGUGAGUCACAGGGAUUUUUUUGUUUUGCAGUGCAUAUAAAAGUUAUGUUGGGCCGGCAUGGUGGCUCAGGCCUGUAAUCUCAGCACUUUGGGAGGCUGAGGCAGGUGGAUCGCUUGAGCUCAGGAGUUUGAGACCAACCUUGGUAACAUGGUAAGACCCCAUCUCUUAAAAAAAAAAAUACUAGGCCGGGUGUGGUGGCUCAUGCCUGUAAUCCUAGCACUUUGGGAGGCCGAGGUGGGUGGAUCACUUGAGGUCAGGAGUUUGAGACCAGCCUGGCCAACAUGGUGAAACCCGUCUCUAUUAAAAAUACAAAAAUUAGCCAAGCGUGGUGGUGGGCACCUGUAAUCCCAGCUACUUGGGAGGUUGAAACAGGAGAAUUGCUUGAACCUGGGAGGUGGAGGUUGCAGUGAGCCGAGAUCAUGCCAUUGCACUCCAGCCUGGGCAACAAGAGUGAAACUC